GGCACAAGCGGUGGAGUAUGUGGUUUAAUUCGAUGCAACGCGAAGAACCUUACCUGGUCUUGACAUCCCGGAGACCCUUAGGAAACUAGGGGUGCUUCCAUCUGGAAGAAUCUGGAGACAGGUGCUGCAUGGCUGUCGUCAGCUCGUGUCGUGAGAUGUUGGGUUAAGUCCCGCAACGAGCGCAACCCUUGCCUUUAGUUGCCAGCAGUUCGGCUGGGCACUCUAAAGGGACUGCCGGUGUUAAACCGGAGGAAGGUGGGGAUGACGUCAAGUCCUCAUGGCCUUUAUGACCAGGGCUACACACGUACUACAAUGGCCGAUACAAAGGGCAGCGACACUGCGAGGUGAAGCCAAUCCCGUAAAAUCGGUCUCAGUCCGGAUUGGAGUCUGCAACUCGACUCCAUGAAGUUGGAAUCGCUAGUAAUCGUGGAUCAGCAUGCCACGGUGAAUACGUUCCCGGGCCUU
rnacentral:rRNA from 1 species